rnacentral:rRNA from 1 species
UGAUCCAGGGAGGUAGUGACAAGAAAUAACAACCUAGUCGCAAGACAGUGGAUUGUAAUGAGUGCAAUUUAAAACACUGCACGAGGAACAAUUGGAGGGCAAGUCUGGUGCCAGCAGCCGCGGUAAUUCCAGCUCCAAUAGCGUAUAUUAAAGUUGUUGCAGUUAAAAAGCUCGUAGUUGAAUUUCUAGUCAGUUAAUUUGGAGGUCUCCUUCACUUUAGCUGGCUAUUCGACACUGAACCAUGUCGGUUAUUAAGUUAACCCCAUGGAGAAUUGUCAUUUUACUUUGAAAAAAUUAGAGUGUUCAAAGCAGGCCUUUGCUCGAAUACAUUAGCAUGGAAUAAUAGAAUAGGACGUGUGGUUCUAUUUUGUUGGUUUCUAGGACCGCCGUAAUGAUUAAUAGGGAUAGUCGGGGGCAUCAGUAUUCAAUCGUCAGAGGUGAAAUUCUUGGAUUGAUUGAAGACUAACUACUGCGAAAGCAUUUGUCAAGGAUGUUUUCAUUAAUCAGUGAACGAAAGUUAGGGGAUCGAAGACGAUCAGAUACCGUCGUAGUCUUAACCAUAAACUAUGCCGACUAGGGAUCGGACGGUGUUAGUAUUUUGACCCGUUCGGCACCUUACGAGAAAUCAAAGUUUUUGGGUUCUGGGGGGAGUAUGGUCGCAAGGCUGAAACUUAAAGAAAUUGACGGAAGGGCACCACCAGGCGUGGAGCCUG